GAUGAACGCUGGCGGCGUGCUUAACACAUGCAAGUCGAACGAUCGCAAGAUAGUGGCGCACGGGUGAGGAACACGUAGCUAACCUGCCUUUGGGUCUGGGAUAACGUCGCGAAAGUGACGCUAAGACCGGAUAAGCUCCCGGGUUGUAGAGACCAGAGAGAAAAGGGGCAAGACGCCUGAAGAGGGGGCUGCGGCGCAUCAGCUAGUUGGUGGGGUAAAGGCCUACCAAGGCAACGACGCGUAAGGGGUCUGAGAGGAUGAUCCCUCACACUGGGACUGAGACACGGCCCAGACUCCUACGGGAGGCAGCAGUGAGGAAUAUUGCACAAUGGGGGCAACCCUGAUGCAGCGACGCCGCGUGGGUGAUGACGGC
rnacentral:rRNA from 1 species